GGUUAAGCGACUAAGCGUACACGGUGGAUGCCCUGGCAGUCAGAGGCGAUGAAGGGCGUGCUAAUCUGCGAUAAGCGCCGGUAAGGUGAUAUGAACCGUUAUAACCGGCGAUACCCGAAUGGGGAAACCCAGUGCAAUGCGUUGCACUAUCAUGUCAUGAAUACAUAGUGGCAUGAGGCGAACCGGGGGAACUGAAACAUCUAAGUACCCCGAGGAAAAGAAAUCAACCGAGAUUCCCCCAGUAGCGGCGAGCGAACGGGGAGGAGCCCAGAACCUGAAUCAGCAUGUGUGUUAGUGGAAGCGUCUGGAAAGUCGCAGGGUACAGGGUGAUACUCCCGUACACAAAAAUGCACAUGGUGUGAGUUCGAAGAGUAGGGCGGGACACGUGGUAUCCUGUCUGAAUAUGGGGGGACCAUCCUCCAAGGCUAAAUACUCCUGACUGACCGAUAGUGAACCAGUACCGUGAGGGAAAGGCGAAAAGAACCCCGGCGAGGGGAGUGAAACAGAACCUGAAACCGUGUACGUACAAGCAGUGGGAGCCUCUUUUAUGGGGUGACUGCGUACCUUUUGUAUAAUGGGUCAGCGACUUAUAUUCUGUAGCAAGGUUAACCGUAUAGGGGAGCCGAAGGGAAACCGAGUCUUAACUGGGCGUUAAGUUGCAGGGUAUAGACCCGAAACCCGGUGAUCUAGCCAUGGGCAGGUUGAAGGUUGGGUAACACUAACUGGAGGACCGAACCGACUAAUGUUGAAAAAUUAGCGGAUGACUUGUGGCUGGGGGUGAAAGGCCAAUCAAACCGGGAGAUAGCUGGUUCUCCCCGAAAGCUAUUUAGGUAGCGCCUCGUGAAUUCAUCUUCGGGGGUAGAGCACUGUUUCGGCUAGGGGGUCAUCCCGACUUACCAACCCGAUGCAAACUGCGAAUACCGAAGAAUGUUAUCACGGGAGACACACGGCGGGUGCUAACGUCCGUCGUGAAGAGGGAAACAACCCAGACCGCCAGCUAAGGUCCCAAAGUCAUGGUUAAGUGGGAAACGAUGUGGGAAGGCACAGACAGCCAGGAUGUUGGCUUAGAAGCAGCCAUCAUUUAAAGAAAGCGUAAUAGCUCACUGGUCGAGUCGGCCUGCGCGGAAGAUGUAACGGGGCUAAACCAUGCACCGAAGCUGCGGCAGCGACACUAUGUGUUGUUGGGUAGGGGAGCGUUCUGUAAGCCGUUGAAGGUGGACUGUGAGGUCUGCUGGAGGUAUCAGAAGUGCGAAUGCUGACAUAAGUAACGAUAAAGCGGGUGAAAAACCCGCUCGCCGGAAGACCAAGGGUUCCUGUCCAACGUUAAUCGGGGCAGGGUGAGUCGACCCCUAAGGCGAGGCCGAAAGGCGUAGUCGAUGGGAAACAGGUUAAUAUUCCUGUACUUGGUGUUACUGCGAAGGGGGGACGGAGAAGGCUAUGUUGGCCGGGCGACGGUUGUCCCGGUUUAAGCGUGUAGGUGUGUGUUCCAGGUAAAUCCGGUUCACUUUAACACUGAGGCGUGAUGACGAGGCACUACGGUGCUGAAGUGACAAAUGCCCUGCUUCCAGGAAAAGCCUCUAAGCAUCAGGUAACAUUAAAUCGUACCCCAAACCGACACAGGUGGUCAGGUAGAGAAUACCAAGGCGCUUGAGAGAACUCGGGUGAAGGAACUAGGCAAAAUGGUGCCGUAACUUCGGGAGAAGGCACGCUGGUGCGUAGGUGAAGCGACUUGCUCGCGGAGCUGAAACCAGUCGAAGAUACCAGCUGGCUGCAACUGUUUAUUAAAAACACAGCACUGUGCAAACACGAAAGUGGACGUAUACGGUGUGACGCCUGCCCGGUGCCGGAAGGUUAAUUGAUGGGGUUAGCGGCAACGCGAAGCUCUUGAUCGAAGCCCCGGUAAACGGCGGCCGUAACUAUAACGGUCCUAAGGUAGCGAAAUUCCUUGUCGGGUAAGUUCCGACCUGCACGAAUGGCGUAAUGAUGGCCAGGCUGUCUCCACCCGAGACUCAGUGAAAUUGAAAUCGCUGUGAAGAUGCAGUGUACCCGCGGCAAGACGGAAAGACCCCGUGAACCUUUACUAUAGCUUGACACUGAACACUGGUCCUUGAUGUGUAGGAUAGGUGGGAGGCUUUGAAGCGAGGACGCCAGUUCUUGUGGAGCCAACCUUGAAAUACCACCCUUUAAUGGCUGGUGUUCUAACGU
rnacentral:rRNA from 1 species